UUCAACAACCCCUUUGUUUCUUUUAACCUCAUUUGUUGACUUAUUUUUCCUUUUAAUGAAAAUAAAACAAAGGAAACACAACAAGAACAAUAAUAAUAACCCACCAACACUUGCUGCUACAACAAUGAUGAUCAGUUUGGUUUUUUUGUUUGAUUUCCGGUUUAAGCUUGGUAAAGCCGGUUCAGUACCGGUUCCCGGACAUGGCUUUUUAACUUGCUCACCACAAAGGGCGGCGUUACCUAAAAAAGACGACGUAUUGAACCGAACUAAAGAUGGGGUUACUGGUAUUUGACCAUAAAGCUGAUUAUUUGACACAUUGAAGAACCUUAAACUUGUUUGGUUCAAUGGUGGAAUCGAUCCUUUCAACUCAUUGUUUUGUAAAUAAAGAGUAUAUAGUCUCUUGAGUUUCAAUAAAGAAAAUGGGAUUUCACCAUUGAUUUGAUUUCCAGACAAGACAAUGAUUUUCAACCGAUGUAAACCCGACAAUGAUAAAGGGAACUCACCAUUGAACUUGUUGUUGUCUAAGUAGAGGAUUUUGAGGUUGACUAAACCUGAAAGGUUAGGUAUUUGACCUGAAAUGGAAUUACCUUUGAAACUCAAUACUCUAAGUUGAUCUAAAAGGUUUAAGCUUGUACCAUUUAAUGAACCAGUUAAGUUCAACCGCUCUAAUACAAGCUUUGUUAUUCUUCCAUCUUUGCAUUCUUUGACACCUUGCCAUGAACAAAGAUUGGUGCUGCUUUGCCAUUGUAAUGAAUUGAAAGGAUCAAUGGUUGAUUUUAAAGCUAAAAGUGCUUCUGCAUCACCUGAUUUAACAAUAGGAACAAGAGAAAGGACAUAGAAGAUGAUGAAGAUGAAGGUUAAAAGAAGAUAGUACCUUGAAGAAAUAAGUUGUUCCAUUUUUUUGAAGCUUUAAAAAGGGAAGAAGAAGAAGAAGAAAGAAAGAAAGAAAUGGGGUUUCUUCAAAUCAACAUCUUUAUGCAAAAAGGAUCAAAAACCCAAUUUUUUUUAACUAAACCUUGAGAUCUGUCAUUGGUCUUACAUGCAUAAGAAACUGUAGAAAAAUAUUGGGUCAUUUUUGACUGAAACUAAGAGACAACAAAGGGGAAAAAAGGUUUUUUAUAUACUUAUAUACAAUGAAAUGAAAGCUUAAACCGGGGGUGGGGGAGCUAUUAGCAUUAAUAGGGUUUCUAAAAUACCACACUAAAAUGCUGAAGAAUCAUUUUUUUUUUUUUUUGGUUUCUCGAACUUGUUAAUCUUGAAAACACUCACGGACAAGGCAGCGUAGUGUUCACGUGAGUUUAUCACAGAACUUGCAGAGAAAAUAAUGAUAAUAAUAAUAGUAUUAACUUUUUUUUACUAUGAUUUUUUUCUAUAUAGCAACUAAAAAAAUAUUAAAUUAAACUAUUUAUACACACUAAGACCAACUUUCUUUUUAAAAGCUUAUUCUUGGGCUUCUCAAAUGUGGUUUAUGACAUAUACAUACAUACAUACAGUGAUAUGCAAAUCACUGAAUGGUGUAAACAGCAAAGACCCAGAACUUAAAAAGCUUAUAGAAAUUCAACCCAAUGCUAGAAAUCAUUCAAACAGUACAAAAUUGGCAAAUCAAUAGGCAAACAAAAGGGCUUUCAAGACAAAAAAAAAAAGUACUACAGCUCAAGUGGUUCUAUGGUGAAUUAGAUCUACUCGUAUUGAAUGUAGUAAUAAUAAUUCAAAGAGAGAUAGGAGAGAGACCGUGUUUAUGAACCAGUGUUUCAGGAGAUAGGUGAAGGGAUUGAAGGCAUAGCAAAGCAAUAUUUUUUUUUCUGGUUUUGGUUUGGAGAGUUUAAGGGUUGGGUUAUUUAAGUAGCUUAUAAUUCAAUUUAAGCCAGUUCAGUUAAAAUGUUGUUAUUUGAUGAUAUAUGUUUUAUUUUAAUUUAAUUGGAACGUAUAAAAAUUUGUAUAUUUCUGGUUUUAGUCCAUUUACUAUACAAAAUUUUGUGAUUCUAUCUCUAUAUUUGGUAAGUUCAAACUGGUAAUAAUGUAUAUAAGCUAUUUCCCUUAAAGUUAUGGAUAUGCAUAAUUCAAUUAAAAUCAAAUUAGUUAGAUUAAUUAGUCUAUCAUUAAAAUUAAUUCGAUCAAAGAUAAAUUAAAUAUUUUAUAAAAAUUAGAUUAUUGAUUAAUUUAAUUUAAAAUAAUUAAAUUAUCAAGAUUAAUAAUAAAUAUUUUAUACUAUAUAAAUGCCCAAUAGAUUGGAACUAUUAAUAGGCUGUGGUACAAAGAAAAAGUUAAAUAGAAUUAAAAUAUAACAAAAAUAAUGACUUAAAAAUGAAAAAUAAAAAUAAAAACCCAACUCCCCUGUGUUUGUCAGUGUUUUUUUUUUUCCUUUCACGCUGCUGAAGUGAACUGGUCCUCCCUUCUUCAGUAGCUUUUUUUUUACCUUAUUUUUCUCUUUUUCAUUUCAAGUUAACCGCAUCAUUUAAUCUUAACAGAUCUUCGAAGCAAAAAAGAAAAAAAAAUAUUUUUCGAAACCCCGUCGAAUUAACUAAAAUUAUUUCAGUUUAGUUAUUUUUGUUAAAAAAUUAUUAACAAUUAAUUAAAUUAACGAUACUACCGAAUCGAUCACUCAAGCAGAGGGAUCAAAACAUUAUCGACCAAUAUUUUAAAAUUUAAAAAAUAAAUUAUAUCAAAUUAAAGUAAAAAAAUUAAAUUAUAAAUUUUAAGAUAAUAGAGGGGCUAAAAACAGAAUUAAUCCAUCAAUACUCCGGACACUGGUCUGACCUGAAACGUGUAAUAAAUAAUAAAUGGAAGACACGUGGCGAAAAGCGUGCUUCAAAAGUAGUCGAAUUCACGUUAAGAGGAGAGAUCGAUGUUUGGUCUGGGCUAGCUGUCACGUUGGCUUCAAGUCAAGAUUGGGUAGAAGUGUAAUUACACAUUUUAUUUUAUUAUUUUUAAUUCACAGUUCGGAGGAUGGUCGUUUUAGGACAAUCCCGACUACCUUGCCGGAAAUCUAGGUGCAGACCAGACUUCAUCAUUGACUCAAACGCAAAUUUUGGUUGAUUUUGUCAACUUUUAAUUUUAUUUAUAUAUUAUUAGGUUGAUUUGCCGCAGUAAUUAAGGCUAAUUAAAAAUUUAUGAGAUCACUAAAAUUAAAGACAAAGCUAUAGGAUAUGUUACCGUGUAACCCAGUCGAACUUGGAUAGUGACAAUUCAAGUUUAACUUCAACUUAAAAUUGGUUACCCGUUAACCAAUUUUCAUACGAGCUCAUUCAUAAUUAAUAAAAUUUUAAUUUUAUACUUAAAAAGCUUAACUAAACUCAUAGACCAUUUGAAUCGAUGCUCAAAAUUGAUCCGACUCGAACUCGACAAUAAUUACCAAAUCAAAUUCGAUUUUAAAAAAAAAAUCGAACUCGAAUAAUAAUUUACAAACAUUGAUGCGUUUGUUUACAUCCCUAAAAACCACUCUUACCACUUUCGGUAGUCCACCUCCAUGGUGAAAAACACACACUUCAUCCCAAAUGAAAGCGACUAAAUGCAAGAAAGAGUUGGGUGAAGAGAUCCCAACACCCAAUACAAUAACCCACAAUAGUAUUCCCAUGAACCAUAUUAAACCUAGCUCCCCCGGUGGGCAAAGAUUUCUAAAUCCAGCCCCAUCUGAAUUUAAAUUAUAAAAAACAUAUGAAAAUAAAUUAAUAAUUUUAACAUAUAUUUUAAAUUUCAAUCGUAAAAUACAUAAAUAUUAAUAUAAUUAUAUUUUUAUUAAUUUAUUAUUUUUAAAAUAAUAAAAUGAAUUCUCUAUGGUCAAGCCCCUAACCUAACACUUCUAAACCAAAUCAAAUUAAAAAUAAAUCAAUUUAUUAAUCUGAAAACCGAAAAAUCCGCUUAGAUUGGGGUAAAACUAUAAUGAAUUUUGCAAUACAGUUGAAUUUAUCAAUAUAAUCCAAUAUCUUUAUUAUACUAAUCUAAAAUAUUAUCUAUGUUCUAGAUCUAGAAAAUGAAAUGGUUUGAUGGUUAAAAUAUUGUUAAAAUAUAAAUAGGCAAUUACACCUUAACUGAAGCCCUCCGUAUAUGUGUAUGUAUAAGGCUUGGCUAAGACUUAGAAUGGUAGGUUUUUGUUCUAUCAACAAGUCAACCUUCAGGCUUCUAUAUAUUGCUGUUCAAAGUAUAUUUAAUAACCCCUUCCAUCUCUCAACUCAACUCAACUCUAUAUAUUGACUCAGCAAUUACACCUUAACUGAAGCCCUCCCCAUAUGUGUAUAUAUAAGGCUUGGCUAAGACUUAGAAUGGUAGGUUUUUGUUCUAUCAACAAGUCAACCUUCAGGCUUCUAUAUAUUGUUGUUCAAAGUAUAUUUAAUAACCCCUUCCAUCUCUCCACUCAACUCAACUCUAUAUUUUGACUCAGCAAUAUCAAGCAUCAAAGCACAUCAACUCUAUAAAUCAAGCAUGUGCAAUCAAGUCCGGUAUGUCUCAUAGUUCUAUAUGUUUUAGGUUCAUCCAUGUAUUCAGCAAGAUCUUUACAUACAUACAUAUUUACAUGCAUACAUACAUAAAUUACAUAUAUAUUAGUACAUGCAGGAUGUUGCAAAAUGGUAUCGAUUUCUCAUCAGAACCUACAAACUUCCUUUAGACAGAUUAAAAGUUUGUAGAAUUCAUGUACCUAUUUUGCUUCGUCUGCUCUCUUUGCAGGGUACAGAAGGCAUGUCUUAGCAUCGAUUCUUGCAGUUUUUUCUUCCUUGUGUGUCACUGUUGACCUGCAUAGAUCAGUGUAUCGGAUGAUACUGAGUAAUACCUCGUCUUGGUGGCAACUUCCGUAAAAUGAAAAGGACCAAAAUUGAAGGUAAUAUCUCCACCAACUGCCCAAUAAAAGAAAACAAAACGAAAAGAGAAAGUUUCUGAGGAUAGUUGAACGCCAUCUUUGUAAUCAACAUCAAGAAACAACAUUAAAAUACUUACAUAUAUAUAUAUAUCAUCAAUUUCAGUAAUUCCUCUCCAUUUUGGUAGCAAAAUAGAAAAAAAAGUUCAGUCAGUUUUCUUUCAAUUUCCCCUAUUUUAGAGAGCUACAUAUAUAUAUAUACUUGUUCAACAGAGAAACCUAGAAGUUAGCCUCUAGCCUUUUAUAUAAACAUAAGCAGUUAAAAGAAAGAGAAAAGAAUUAGCAAGACAUGAAGAAAAUAUUAUUAACUGUACUCUCAGGUAAAAUUAUUAUCCCUAAAGUUCGAGAACUAGUUUACAAAUAAUGAUAAUAAAGUCGCAACUCACAACUGCAUCUAAAAAUUUCUUCCACAUAACAAUCUGAUGGCAAAGUCUUAUAAAUUGCUUACGAAAUUUAUUGAAAUAUGCAUUAAAUUUAGCAGCAAAAUAAACAAGGAAACAAGGAAGUGGCAAUCUUCUCAGUUUUCCUAUGGCAAUGAAAAGGGUUAAGCAACCUCCACACUGAAUUUCAAUAUGAUUGUUUCAAUCAUGAGAAACUUAGAAACAUGAAGAAAUAUUUAUUAAACAUACCAGGUAAUAUAUGAAGUUUAGAACUGGAUGGUUCAGAACAUUAAGAUCAGCAGCUUUAUCAAAUGCAUCAAAGCACAUCUAAAACAAAAAUUAACAAUGGAGCUCAAAUUAGCAAACGCUUUGGACAAACAUCAUCAUAGAUGAGCAAAGUCCAAGAUAUGAAAUUCAGUAAGAUGCAUACUACUUUAUCACCAUUGAAUAGAUCAACAAUUUAAACCAACUAGCAGCUAAGGUUCAACUAAAAUGCUUUCAUUUUGAAACAGAAGUGCUAUAACAUUAUGGGAAAAUAUCUGGUACACUGCAAGUGGAGUUUUUAGAAUCCACAAGCAGAGUUAGAGGGCUGACAAGUAUCAUACAGAGGUAUAGUAAAAUAUUAAAAAAAAAACACGUGGAAAUUUUUUAGGGUUGCUUAUGCAAUAAAAACAAAUACACUGCCAGUGUACCAAAUACUAACCCUAACAAUAUACAUACCUAAAAGUUUCACAAAAGCCUAACAAAACGUGUAGUAUUGUCAAUUUGAGAUUUGUAGUGUUAGUAAAGCCAGAAAGGAGAUUAAUAAUCUACCAUAAUGCAUCUGACUAGGAAACAUGAGGAGCAUAUGACAGUCACAUAACCAACCUGCCAAAUAAAAAAAGAAAUAACAAUAAAAAAUUGUAAAUAGAAGGUCAAAUUGUUGUACUUAAAAACCACAUCUACUUCCAAAGUAAAUAUGUACUUCUUGCAGCUUAUUUUGUCGCCCUUUGGACUCUACAGGGAAUCGCUGCAACAUUAAGAAAAGCCUGCAAGGAUUGAACUUAUUACAUAUACAUAUACAUAUACAUAUACAUAUACAUAUACAUAUACAUAUACAUAUACAUAUACAUAGAGAGAGAGAGAGAGAGAAUUUCAAGGUAUAUAUAUAGUAUGGUUACAAUGUUCACUUACAAAUGAAUGGGAGAAACUGUAAUUACGGCAUAAAUGAAAUGAAUAGAACAAAAAGGGUCAGCCAUAAUUUUCUCUGGGAAGUACCAAAUAAACAUGAACUAAUUUAUCAGCAAAAAAUAAUAACUGUUCCAUAACACUGUUGCCAACUGAAUUAUCAAUGAUGAGCAUAGAUGUUAGAAUAUAGGUGGUUGAGGAUGUGUGGACACGUGAUGUGAGAGGGACAUUAUCACACCUAGAUAGCUCUCAUGCAUUUAAAACACUUAGCAACAGUACAAUAUAUGGCAAUAUUACC
rnacentral:lncRNA from 1 species